ensembl:misc_RNA 7SK 7SK RNA
AGGUGUAAGGAAGGGAUCCAGGGCUGGCUAGGUGGGUGUCCCCUUCCUCCCUCACCGCUCCAUGUGCGUCCCUCCCGAAGCUGCGCGCUCAGUUGAAGAGGACGACUAUCCCCAAUAGAGGAGGACCGGUCUUCAGUCAAGCGUAUACGAGUAGCUGCACUCCCCUGCUAGAACCUCCAAACAAGCUCUCAAGGUCCCUUGAGCAUUUUUUAAUGGAGUUGCUUGUGUAUAGUUUGUUAAUUUGUUUAAGUUCCUUACAGAUUUUUGA